GCGUACCUGGGAGAUACUGCAGGUUCGGUUCCAGACCACCACCAUAAAGUGAAUGUCGCAAUAAAGCCCUCUGCAGAUAUAUACACAAUUUUGCACUUCUCGAACAAAAAAAGAAAAGCAGAAGCCCAAAUCAUUGGAUGGUAUAGAAAGGAAUGUCAGGAUAAUAUAUUCAACUUCAGCUCUGAAGAGACAGAAGACCUCCAGACUUCAAUUUUGCGCAUCUUCUAAUUGUUCUCUUUAGAAUAAACAUUGUGGUCCUGUUUAAACUCAGGCAUCAAAUUCUCUUUGGAGUUUUUGACCAUCCCAUUUACUCAGAAUGCUAAAGCCUUACAAUCAGGUCAUCUGUAAUUUACAUGGGAAGUUGUAUUUGCUUGUGACUUCUUUAACUGUGUAACUGGAUAAGCUGGGAUAAUCCUUGUGUUUAUUUAGUCUUGAGGCUUUCUGUUACUCCCCCUGCUUCAACUUUCUAAAAUCAAGUGCCUGAUAUAGAGUUUAACUUUUAACUUCAAAAUGAAUUUAAAAUCCUUUUGCUUUGAUAAUUUCAUGAUACACCCUUGAGAUUAUCGUGAAGAAUGCUUCAUUAUGGCUAGAAAACAUAUAUACACAUAUAUUCAUGUGAUAAAUCCAUAUAAAAGCAAAAAAUGUAUUUAAAGGCAAGUAUUACAUAGAAAUAUUAACCCCAUGGAGUAGGAGAACAGAGAGCACUGAUCUAUUUGAGAUAAAAAUUGCACGUUAUGGGAAUUCUAGCCUUCU
rnacentral:lncRNA from 1 species